rnacentral:misc_RNA from 1 species
GAAAUGCGAUAAGUAGUGUGAAUUGCAGAAUUCAGUGAAUCAUCGAAUCUUUGAACGCACAUUGCGCCCUUUGGUAUUCCUUAGGGCAUGCCUGUUCGAGCGUCAUUUAAACCUUCAAGCCCUGCUUGGUGUUGGGUGCCUGUCCCGCCCCCCGCGCGUGGACUCACCUCAAAUCCAUUGGCGGCCCCCGCAUGGCCACGAGCGCAGCAGAAACGCAAACUCGUGUGCCGGACCGGGCGGCUCCCAGAAGCUACACUCACCAUUUUGACCUCGGAUCAGGUAGGGAUACCCGCUGAACUUAAGC